rnacentral:rRNA from 1 species
GAUGAACGCUGGCGGCGUGCCUAAUACAUGCAAGUCGAGCGAACGGACGAGAAGCUUGCUUCUCUGAUGUUAGCGGCGGACGGGUGAGUAACACGUGGAUAACCUACCUAUAAGACUGGGAUAACUUCGGGAAACCGGAGCUAAUACCGGAUAAUAUUUUGAACCGCAUGGUUCAAAAGUGAAAGACGGUCUUGCUGUCACUUAUAGAUGGAUCCGCGCUGCAUUAGCUAGUUGGUAAGGUAACGGCUUACCAAGGCAACGAUGCAUAGACGACCUGAGAGGGUGAUCGGCCACACUGGAACUGAGACACGGUCCAGACUCCUACGGGAGGCAGCAGUAGGGAAUCUUCCGCAAUGGGCGAAGGCCUGACGGAGCAACGCCGCGUGAGUGAUGAAGGUCUUCGGAUCGUAAAACUCUGUUAUUAGGGAAGAACAUAUGUGUAAGUAACUGUGCACAUCUUGACGGUACCUAAUCAGAAAGCCACGGCUAACUACGUG